UCCCUCGUAGCUCAAGGUAGAGCAUCAGACUGCGCUCCUGAUGGUUGCUGGUUCAAGUCCAGCCGAGGGAA
rnacentral:tRNA from 1 species